UACGUAGGGGGCAAGCGUUGUCCGGAUUUAUUGGGCGUAAAGAGCGUGUAGGCGGCCUGACAGGUCUGCUGUGAAAACUCGAGGCUCAACCUCCAGACGUCGACGGAAACCGUGUGGCUAGAGUCCGGAAGAGGAGAGUGGAAUUCCUGGUGUAGCGGUGAAAUGCGCAGAUAUCAGGAAGAACACCAAUGGCGAAGGCAGCUCUCUGGGACGGUACUGACGCUGAGACGCGAAAGCGUGGGGAGCGAACAGG
rnacentral:rRNA from 1 species